UACGUAGGGUGCGAGCGUUGUCCGGAAUUAUUGGGCGUAAAGAGCUCGUAGGCGGUCUGUUGCGUCCGCUGUGAAAACUCGGGGCUUAACCCCGAGCCUGCAGUGGAUACGGGCAGACUAGAGGUAGGUAGGGGAGAAUGGAAUUCCCGGUGUAGCGGUGAAAUGCGCAGAUAUCAGGAGGAACACCGAUGGCGAAGGCAGGUCUCUGGGCCACUACUGACGCUGAGAAGCGAAAGCAUGGGGAGCGAACAGG
rnacentral:rRNA from 1 species